CCACCAUGUGGACUAUCCCCAGGUGGUCAGUGUCCCUCCUCCACCAUGUGGACUAUCCCCAGGUGGUCAGUGUCCCUCCUCCACCAUGUGGACUAUCCCCAGGUGGUCAGGUCAGUGUCCCUCCUCUACCAUGUGGACUAUCCCCAGGUGGUCAGUGUCCCUCCUCUACCAUGUGGACUAUUCCCAGGUGGUCAGUGUCCCUCCUCCACCAUGUGGACUAUCCCCAGGUGGUCAGUGUCCCUCCUCCACCAUGUGGACUAUCACCAGGUGGUCAGUGUCCCUCCUCCACCAUGUGGACUAUCCCCAGGUGGUCAGUGUCCCUCCUCCACCAUGUGGACUAUCACCAGGUGGUCAGUGUCCCUCCUCCACCAUGUGGACUAUCCCCAGGUGGUCAGGUCAGUGUCCCUCCUCCACCAUGUGGACUAUCACCAGGUGGUCAGUGUCCCUCCUCCACCAUGUGGACUAUCACCAGGUGGUCAGUGUCCCUCCUCCACCAUGUGGACUAUCCCCAGGUGGUCAGUGUCCCUCCUCCACCAUGUGGACUA